AUUGAACGCUGGCGGCAGGCCUAACACAUGCAAGUCGAACGAGUGGCGGACGGGUGAGUAAUGUCUGGGAAACUGCCCGAUGGAGGGGGAUAACUACUGGAAACGGUAGCUAAUACCGCAUACCAUCGGAUGUGCCCAGAUGGGAUUAGCUAGUAGGUGGGGUAACGGCUCACCUAGGCGACGAUCCCUAGCUGGUCUGAGAGGAUGACCGGCAACACUGGAACUGAGACACGGUCAGGCCUCCUACGGGAGCAAGCGGUGGGGAAUAUUGCACAAUGGGCGCAAGCCGGAUGCAGCCAUGCCGCGUGUAUGAGGAAGGCCUUCGGGUUGAAAAGUACUUUCAGCGAGGAGGCGUUACUCGCAGAAGAAGCACCGGCUAACUCCGUGCCAGCAGCCGCGGUAAUAC
rnacentral:rRNA from 1 species